UUGGGGUAUGGUGUAAUUGGCAACACAGCGGUUUCUGGUACCGCCAUUCUAGGUUCGAGUCCUGGUACCCCAGCGGA
rnacentral:tRNA from 1 species